rnacentral:lncRNA from 1 species
AAGGGAAAACAGCUUUAGUUCCCAUCUCCUUAGUCAGCAAUGGCUGUUUGCCGGUUCCACUCACAAUACAUGGGCCGAACAAUCUGCCCGAUGUUCAAGGCCCAGCUUCGUCAACAUGUGGCCACGGUUUCCUCUGUCUACAAAAGGAGGGUAGUAGUCAGGUCUACCUUCAAAAGUCUUGACUGAAGGAAGAGGAAGUAUCAGAGGAACAUAUCAGAUAGCAUCACAGCAGAGAAUGCCUCGCUGCCAAUUAUUUGUUAAGAGCCCAGGCACGGAAGGCUUUGUCAUCUUUAAUGGUUGCUCUAAGCAGCUCAAACACUCCAAGGGCUUCCUGUCUCACUCAGAAUUAAAUCCAAUCCCUUAUCUCCGUCUUCAAGGCUCUGCCUCACCCUUCCUGGCCACCCCUACCCCUCCAAGGAAAACCGCCUGACUUCUAACCUCAGAGAUUCAAACCUGAAGUUUCUAAAUUGUUUCAGGUAUUUAUAAUAAAUCAGGAAAUCUGCAUUUCUUUCAUCCUUUGAGAAAUCAGAUCCGGCAACAGUGGACGUGAGUCCUCUCGAGGCGGUGACCUGCGGAGGGGGAGCCGCUGUCCCUUAAGGAGGGCGUGGCCUCUCCAGGCCCACUUGGCUCACCUCAUUUGUCACCUGCCUGGUCCGCUGAUAUAAGAGCUUCCGAUAUUUGUAUUUUUCCAUCUUUUGAUUCCAAUUUCAAUGUCUUUAUACUUUUGACCGCCCAAGCCUUUUGCACAACAAGAUAGUAUUACAUAAAUAAAUAACUGUAUCAAGAAGGAAAAAAAAGAAGUAAAAAAAGCACUAUAUAUAUGCUUGGAUAAUAAGUAAUUCAACACAUGCGUGCAACAGAAAUGUUAACUAGAACAAGCACUAUCUGAGGAUUAACAGGAACCUUUUUUUGAAGAUUUCAAACAAAUUCGACUUUCAGUCUAACUGCUUAAUCUAAAGUAUUUCUACAAAGCUCAUCAGAGCCUCUAUUUGUCAUAGACUUUUGAGUUUAUUGUUGUGACCACAUAAGAGGACCAUUUUUUUGGUCUUUAAAUUGUUGUAGGGGCCUCCCCGUGGCCUGGUGGUUGAGUUCGGCACACUCUGCUUCAGCAACUGGGGUUGGCGGGUUCGGAUCCUGGACACAGACCUAUACCACUUGUUUGCCGUGCGGUAGCAAUGACCCACAUAUAAAAUAGAUGAAGACUGGCACAGAUGUGAGCUCAAAGCUAAUCCUCCUCAGGCA